UGUAUAAUGGGUCAGCGACUUAUAUUCUGUAGCAAGGUUAACCGAAUAGGGGAGCCGAAGGGAAACCGAGUCUUAACUGGGCGUUAAGUUGCAGGGUAUAGACCCGAAACCCGGUGAUCUAGCCAUGGGCAGGUUGAAGGUUGGGUAACACUAACUGGAGGACCGAACCGACUAAUGUUGAAAAAUUAGCGGAUGACUUGUGGCUGGGGGUGAAAGGCCAAUCAAACCGGGAGAUAGCUGGUUCUCCCCGAAAGCUAUUUAGGUAGCGCCUCGUGAAUUCAUCUCCGGGGGUAGAGCACUGUUUCGGCAAGGGGGUCAUCCCGACUUACCAACCCGAUGCAAACUGCGAAUACCGGAGAAUGUUAUCACGGGAGACACACGGCGGGUGCUAACGUCCGUCGUGAAGAGGGAAACAACCCAGACCGCCAGCUAAGGUCCCAAAGUCAUGGUUAAGUGGGAAACGAUGUGGGAAGGCCCAGACAGCCAGGAUGUUGGCUUAGAAGCAGCCAUCAUUUAAAGAAAGCGUAAUAGCUCACUGGUCGAGUCGGCCUGCGCGGAAGAUGUAACGGGGCUAAACCAUGCACCGAAGCUGCGGCAGCGACGCUUAUGCGUUGUUGGGUAGGGGAGCGUUCUGUAAGCCUGUGAAGGUGUACUGUGAGGUAUGCUGGAGGUAUCAGAAGUGCGAAUGCUGACAUAAGUAACGAUAAAGCGGGUGAAAAGCCCGCUCGCCGGAAGACCAAGGGUUCCUGUCCAACGUUAAUCGGGGCAGGGUGAGUCGACCCCUAAGGCGAGGCCGAAAGGCGUAGUCGAUGGGAAACAGGUUAAUAUUCCUGUACUUGGUGUUACUGCGAAGGGGGGACGGAGAAGGCUAUGUUGGCCGGGCGACGGUUGUCCCGGUUUAAGCGUGUAG
rnacentral:rRNA from 1 species